GGCUCGUUGGUCUAGGGGUAUCAUUCUCGCUUAGGGUGCGAGAGGUACCGGGUUCAAAUCCCGGACGAGCCC
rnacentral:tRNA from 1 species